UUGAGUUUAUGACUACAAAGACCCUCAUUCUGCCUGACACUGGAGACGGUGUCCUGAUAGAGCGAAGUCUGUGUCCUGGGACGGCCCUGUGCCAGCCAGCAAGAGAUGAUCCAUGCGUCCUGGCGUUGUCUUGGUUGUCCAGUGAUGUUGCUUCAUGAAUCAGGAUAGACUAGAGGCAACUACUGUAACCAAGAGAAGGUGCUUUUGCGAGCGCAGGUGAAACGGAGCUCUGACGAGGCUGAAUCGCACCACAAACCUUGGCCCAAGCCGCCGUUACUCAGUCAGCGCUGGACUUGCAGAACAGGUGCAAAACGAGAACUAUCCAAGUGAAAAUUCAGGUUUUUGUAUCUCCAUCUUCAGCUGCAUUGUCUUCAGCUGGUGUUCAUCCUUAAUUUUUAUUUGUAUUUAGUCUGCCUGUCAU